CCCCCGUCCGCCCGCCCGCCGCCCUGCCAACAGCCCCAAGUCUGUUUCCAGGAAGAGCCUCCCAGCUGUGAAAGAAAAGAACUUUAGUUCUUUCCCAACCUGAGAAGUCUGCAAGCUGGAUUUGCGCCCUCCCCCGAGUUCUGGUCAGGAGGCUUCUCACCCUGUUCACCCUGUUCAAGUUGUUACAAAGUUCAGCUAGAGAAUUCUUCUCCCUGUGGAGUUUUACCCCCUGCGACUCUGGCCACUCACCUGAUGGAUCCCUGUGGUUCCAGGCAGGAAUGGGCUGCUUGGGGUCCCAGCAAACUCCCAGGGCCUUUCUGCUUCUUCCUCUACCCCUGUAUUUCACUUGACUCAGCUCUCUAACUUGACUCAGCUCCAGGACAAAGCAUUCGUCCCCUCCAGAGGAUGCAGUAAUAAGACACCAUCCUGGAAGCAGAGAGCAGCCCUCACCACACACCAAACCUGCUGGCACCUUGAUCUUGAACUUCCAGCCACCAGUAAGAAAUAAAUUUCUGU
rnacentral:lncRNA from 10 species